GAGAGUUAAAUAGUACGUGAAAUUGUUGAAAGGGAAACGAUUGAAGUCAGUCAUGUUAGUGAAAAAUCAGUUUGACGGGUUUUGAGUUCGGGAGUAGAGGCAGGGUCAAACCGUUUCUCUUUUGAACUUGGGAUUUGUUAGAUGUACUUUUUCUUUGGCAGGUCAGCGUCGAUUUCGGAGGUUGUAAAAUACUUGGGGAAAAGUAGCUCUGCUUCGGGAGAGUAUUAUAGACCCUGGGGGAUGCAGCCUGCGGGAUCGAGGAUUGCAGCAAAUGCCUUUGGCUUGUCGCCUGAUCUCUGGAUGUUACCUCGCUUGUGACAACAUUCUUGCCACCUGUGGGUACUAAUGCCCAUUAGGUUAGAGCGAUCAAAAAUUUUGCUAAGGAUGCUGACGUAAUGGCUUUAAACGA
rnacentral:rRNA from 1 species